ACUCCUACGGGAGGCAGCAGUAGGGAAUCUUCCACAAUGGGCGCAAGCCUGAUGGAGCAACACCGCGUGAGUGAAGAAGGGUUUCGGCUCGUAAAGCUCUGUUGUUAAAGAAGAACACGUAUGAGAGUAACUGUUCAUACGUUGACGGUAUUUAACCAGAAGUCACGGCUAACUACGUGCCAGCAGCCGCGGUAAUACGUAGGUGGCAAGCGUUAUCCGGAUUUAUUGGGCGUAAAGAGAGUGCAGGCGGUUUUCUAAGUCUGAUGUGAAAGCCUUCGGCUUAACCGGAGAAGUGCAUCGGAAACUGGAUAACUUGAGUGCAGAAGAGGGUAGUGGAACUCCAUGUGUAGCGGUGGAAUGCGUAGAUAUAUGGAAGAACACCAGUGGCGAAGGCGGCUACCUGGUCUGCAACUGACGCUGAGACUCGAAAGCAUGGGUAGCGAACAGGAUUAGAU
rnacentral:rRNA from 1 species